GACGAACGCUGGCGGCGUGCUUAACACAUGCAAGUCGAACGAAGAGCGAUGGAAGCUUGCUUCUAUCAAUCUUAGUGGCGAACGGGUGAGUAACGCGUAAUCAACCUGCCCUUCAGAGGGGGACAACAGUUGGAAACGACUGCUAAUACCGCAUACGAUCUAAUCUCGGCAUCGAGGAUAGAUGAAAGGUGGCCUCUACAUGUAAGCUAUCACUGAAGGAGGGGAUUGCGUCUGAUUAGCUAGUUGGAGGGGUAACGGCCCACCAAGGCGAUGAUCAGUAGCCGGUCUGAGAGGAUGAACGGCCACAUUGGGACUGAGACACGGCCCAGACUCCUACGGGAGGCAGCAGUGGGAAAUCUUCCGCAAUGGACGAAAGUCUGACGGAGCAACGCCGCGUGAGCGAUGACGGCCUUCGGGUUGUAAAGCUCUGUUAAUCGGGACGAAAGGCCUUCUUGCGAAUAGUGAGAAGGAUUGACGGUACCGGAAUAGAAAGCCACGGCUAACUACGUG
rnacentral:rRNA from 1 species